GUUAACUUCUCUCUGCUGCCUGCUUCUCCCCCAGGGCUGAGCUCAUCAGUCUUGAUGAUCUUAGCCAAUCCAAUGUUUCCUGUAGGAGAGCUUUGGCAGGCUAGUGUGCAUGCAUGGGAAAAUGCAGCGCUGAGCCAAUCAAGUUACCUCUAUGAGACCAUCUGAUUAAAUAGCCAAGUUUAACUCAUCUAUUAGGGUGGAAGCACCUCUAGUGGCUGUCUUUGUGACAGCCACUAACGGUAUGUUAACUCUGCAAUGUAAAUAUUGCCGUUCCUGCAAAUGGUAAUGUUUUCAAUAGCAAGAAUAAAACGACAGGGGUUGUGCACCCAGACUACUUUAUUGAGAUGAUCUGGGUGCCUAUAUUGUCCCUUUAAGCAAUGGACUUAAAUUAACAUUCUGAC